CUCUUGCGUCAUUUCCUAGUUCUUCAAUAUAAAUAAAAAAUACUGAUGAUUCUGUCUAGGAAUUGAUAGGAUUUGUCAUUUUAAGUUAAACUACUAUUAUUAAUUACCUAGGUAAUUAAUAAUUAAUUAAGAAAUUAAAGACUGAACUCCAAUUAAAGCCAGGAGAAGAAAAAGAAGUUGAAGAGAUGUCGAGUGGGAGAAAGACAAAGAAGCCUCCUCCUUUGCCCCUGACACUUCCAGCCUCUGAAGAGGAGGAUGCUUGGAAGCACUCUCCCUCCAACAUGGUGGAUCAUAAUAGUGGAAUGAUCCCCAACCCUUCCAAAGAUAAUUCUGCGGAGGAUGAGGAAAUGCAUACAAACGAGGGUCUCUUUGAUGUCGUCAACGACAAGCAAAGAGAGAGGCUUGAGGUAUUUUUGAAUAGAAAGGAGCAAUUAGGGGAUCUCAAAGGGGAUGAAGAAUUUGAGAAACUCUCGGAACUGGGAUCUGGGAAUGGGGGUGUCGUUCAUUGUGUUCUACAUCGACCUUCAGGGACCAUUAUGGCCAAAAAAAUGAUUCACUUGGAAGUCAAACCCGCUACAAAAAAACAAAUCAUUACAGAACUUAAAAUACUCCACAAAUGCAAUUCCCCAUAUAUUGUGGGAUUCUAUGGAGCUUACCAUAGCGAUGGAGAAAUAAACAUAUGUAUGGAGUACAUGGAUGGUGGAUCUCUAGACUUAGUCCUCAAAAAGACUGGUAAAAUCCCUGAAAAGUAUUCGCGCAAAAUCACAUAUGCUGUCCUUCGAGGUUUGAGCUACCUUCGAGAGAGGCAUAAAAUCAUUCAUCGGGACGUAAAACCCAGCAAUAUAUUGGUAAAUAGUCAAGGAGAAAUCAAAAUUUGUGACUUUGGAGUUUCCGGCCAGCUCAUUGAUUCAAUGGCCAACUCCUUUGUUGGAACUCGAUCUUACAUGUCACCUGAGAGAUUACAAGGCUCUCCAUAUUCUGUAGCUAGUGAUGUUUGGUCUUUAGGACUCUCUCUCUUAGAAAUUAGUCUUGGCAUGUACCCCAUUCCUCCUCCAGAUGUUGCAGCCUUAACACAUAUAUUUGGACCUCAAAUUGGACCUGAAGAUGUGGCGAUAGCUCGAGCAAAUCGAAUCCCCAAGUCCCCAGGGAAUGGAUCAUGCAAGCCAAUGGCUAUUUUCGAAUUGUUAGAGUAUAUAGUCAAUCAACCUCCACCAAAAUUACUGAGUCGAGUAUUCUCAGAUGAAAUGAGGGACUUUGUUGAACGAUGUCUUAGGAAAAAGUCAAAUGAGAGGCCGGAUCUUGAUACGCUCAUGGCUCAUCCAUGGAUUGCUGGAGUUGAAAAUGAUGGAUUAGACAUUUCAGAUUGGGUUUCACGGAUUUCCAAACUUCCUACGCCACAGUGAUUGAUUCUAUCGGACUAUAUAUUGACGUUUUACACAUAUAAUAAUAUUAUAAUCUUCAUCAUUUACAAAAAAAAAAACAUAGAUCAAUUCCUUCUCCCAACCCCUCAACCUUUACGAAAAGGAAAUAUAUAUAUUUAAAUAAUUAAUUACCAUGAGUUCAAUCCAAAUAAUCAAAUAAUUAUUUCUUCAUUAUAUUAUUUUUCAUCUAGAGAGAGGGUUACUUUAGUUAUUUAUAUACAUAUAUAUAUUUCGGAUAAUUAUUCAAUCAUUCAUUAAGUUAAGUUUAUUCGUCCAGUGAAAUUUACUUAAA
rnacentral:misc_RNA from 1 species